rnacentral:rRNA from 1 species
UACAGAGGGUGCAAGCGUUUAAUCGGAAAUUACUGGGCGUAAAGCGCGCGUAGGUGGUUUGUUAAGUUGAAUGUGAAAUCCCCCGGGCUCAACCUGGGAACUGCAUCCAAAAACUGGCAAGCUAGAGUAGGGCAGAGGGUGGUGGAAUUUCCUGUGUAGCGGUGAAAUGCGUAGAUAUAGGAAGGAACACCAGUGGCGAAGGCGACCACCUGGGCUCAUACUGACACUGAGGCACGAAAGCGUGGGGAGCAAACAGG